CCCCCCCCCACCCCUUGACCUUUGACCCCAUGCCCAAGAGAGUAAAUUUUAGGGGUCACCACAGACAGACAGAGACAGAGAGACAGGUUGAUUGCGCCCGUUCUUUGACCAUCUCUGACCUUGCUAGUUGACCCCCCCCUUGACCUUUGACCCCAUGCCCAAAAGUGAAUUUUAGGGGUCACCACAGACAGACAGAGACAGAUAUAGAGACAGAGAGACAGGUUGAUUGCUUCCGUUCUUUGACCAUCUCUGACCUUGCUAGUUGACCCCCCCCUUGACCUUUGACCCCAUGUGACCUGAGAGAGUGAAUUUUAGGGUCACCACAGACAGACAGAGACAGAGAUAGAUAGAGACAGUUAGAUAAGAUAGAAGAUAGACAGAAAUAGGAAUAUAGAUUGACUUAGAUAGACAGAUAGAUAGAUAGAUAGAUAGAUAAAGAUAGAAAGGAAUAGAAGGAAAGAAAUAAUUAAAGAAAGUAAGGAAGAAAUGAAGGAAAGAAAGAAAAAAAAAUAAAUAAAAAGAAAGAGAGAGACAAUUAGAAGCAGAAAUAGACAGAUAGAUAGACAGAAAUAGAACAAUAGAUUAAUAGACAAACAGAAGAAACAAUAAAAGAAAUACAAUGAUAGAGAUAGCCAUAGACAGAACAGCAAUAAAAAUAGGAGAGAGAGAGAGAGAGAGAGAGAGAGAGAGAGAGAGAGAGAGAGAGAGAGAGAGAGAGAGAGAGAGAGAGAGAGAGAGAGAGAGAGAGACUUAGA